GAUGAACGCUGGCGGCGUGCCUAAUACAUGCAAGUCGAGCGAACAGACGAGGAGCUUGCUCCUCUGACGUUAGCGGCGGACGGGUGAGUAACACGUGGAUAACCUACCUAUAAGACUGGGAUAACUUCGGGAAACCGGAGCUAAUACCGGAUAACAUGUUGAACCGCAUGGUUCAACAGUGAAAGACGGUCUUGCUGUCACUUAUAGAUGGAUCCGCGCCGCAUUAGCUAGUUGGUAAGGUAACGGCUUACCAAGGCAACGAUGCGUAGCCGACCUGAGAGGGUGAUCGGCCACACUGGAACUGAGACACGGUCCAGACUCCUACGGGAGGCAGCAGUAGGGAAUCUUCCGCAAUGGGCGAACGCCUGACGGAGCAACGCCGCGUGAGUGAAGAAGGUCUUCGGAUCGUAAAACUCUGUUAUUAGGGAAGAACAAAUGUGUAAGUAACUAUGCACGUCUUGACGGUACCUAAUCAGAAAGCCACGGCUAACUACGUG
rnacentral:rRNA from 1 species